UAUUGAUGAUGGGGGAAGUCCUUGAGAAGAGAUUAACCUUUCCCAUGCAUAAUAUAACUUAUCAUCUAGCUUCUUCUUAAAACUAGAAAUUUCACUGCGUAACCU